rnacentral:rRNA from 1 species
UGCGUAGGCGGUCUUCUAAGUUUGAUGUGAAAUCCCGGGGCUCAACCCUGGAAUUGCAUUGAAUACUGGAGGACUAGAGUACUGGAGAGGAAACCGGAAUUUACGGUGUAGCAGUGAAAUGCGUAGAGAUCGUAAGGAAGACCAGUGGCGAAGGCGAGUUUCUGGACAGUAACUGACGCUGAGGCACGAAGGCCAGGGGAGCAAACGG